UUGGGGUGUCAGAAGUAGUAAGGAAUUUUCUCAUCCCUAGAAAAUACAAAAAGGACCCUCUCAAAAUUAACCAGGACCUGGGCUUAACUGGGUACCAUCCAAAGGAGCCCCUUUGAAAUCUUCUCCAGUCAUGAAGUCCAAACCGUUAUGUAUAAAGUUUGACUGCGUGGGAGGGGGAGGUUCAGCCAUCUCAUGGGCUGUUCCUCCAAGCUGUCUGCCGUGCGGAGAAGAAAAUCAGCGAGAGGAUCUUUAGAAUUCAGCGAAAAUUGAAUUCCAGGAAUAGCUCGGAGGUGCCGGUUGCUUUCUUUUACGCUCGUUCUUUCUCUAAACAUGUGAUCUGCCUUGUUUUCUGGUUCCGUGAAAUCGGCGACCGGGACGGAGAGAAGCAUACAAAGAGGAGACAACAACGAGGUGUUGUUUUCCGGAGCCAGCCAGGUGAAGCGCAAAGGGCAAGUGCUCUCCAAUGCGUAAUUACGCACGGCUUGGAGAGCUUUUCCAUUGCCCGGACCGGAGGGCGCGCGCGCGAAAAGGUCCUCCCGGAUUCCUUGGGAAAGAGAGAGAGAGGCAGCGGGGAGGAGCAAAGAGAGGCGCUUGGCGUGGAUUUGGGGGAGCGCGUGAUUUGCAGCUGUUGUUGGGCUUUCAAAGCAAAAUAAAACGGCCGGUCUGCAGGGGCGCUUCAAGCUGGUCCGGAGAAGCUGAACUCGCUGCCCUCUUCCCCUGCCCAGAAAGAUGGAUUCCAGUGGAAGGUGCCGGGCUGAGCUAUAAAUCAAGGGCGCCGAUUUCAUUCUACUCCCUGAAUUGCUGGGAGGCGGCUACAAAAUCUCUCUUUCUACACUCGCUCUUCAUCUGCAUACAUUUCGUAUGCAUCUGUAGACUCUGCUACUGUUUAUUUGCUGUAGUGUUGUUAAUAAUUAUUAUUUAUUUCAACCUUU